UCAGGCCGUAACCAAAAAAAGAAAAAACUAAAACUGUGCUAAUGUCAACAUGCAAGGAGGAUUGAGUGAUGUAAUGUCAGUUCAGUGUUUCUUUUUACAGCAGACUUUGUCCAGUAUUAUCAAAGGAACCAGCAGCAUGUGUCAUUUCUUCAAUCUGCUUAGAGGAUCACCACUACUGUGUCACAAAGCACAACAUACUUGUAGCUCUCUGUUCUUGUUUGAUUAGCAAUACCACUCUUGUACCCUUCUGCGAGCAUUUAAGGCCCCAAACCUACAAACAACAAUCUUCAGAUGGAGCCAGAUACUCUAAGAAGCUCUGUUGUCUUCCUGACUGUGGCCCCAUGAAGUGACCAUGUACACACCUAGAAUUGAUGUUUGGAGAUCUGUGGCCAAACCCUGAGCUGGGGGCCUCAACUCCCAUUGACUUCAAUGUGAGUGGAGGGCGGUAAGCACAUCUUGAGAGGCACUCAGCACCUUGCUUGAUUGGAUCCUUGUCGGUUACCAUACUUUACCUUUUUCUUAAGUAGGAGAGCUACUUUGGUAAGGCAAGAUCUGGGCACACAUGAUUUUCAUGGUGACCUUCACUUAAAUGCACUGUAUUACUGAGAUUGCACACUAAAUUUUUUUUUGCACUUUUACAGAAUAAAAUGACUUUUUCCCCUUGGUUAUCUGUGUAAUGCCUUAUGUGUAUAUGAUGCUUUGAAAAAAUCCCUCUUGUAAUAGUGUAAGGUUCUGAUCCUGC